rnacentral:rRNA from 1 species
CGAAGCAACGCGAAGAACCUUACCAGGCCUUGACAUGCAGAGAACUUUCCAGAGAUGGAUUGGUGCCUUCGGGAACUCCUGACACAGGUGCUGCAUGGCUGUCGUCAGCUCGUGUCGUGAGAUGUUGGGUUAAGUCCCGCAACGAGCGCAACCCUUGCCUUUAGUUGCCAGCAGUUCGGCUGGGCACUCUAAAGGGACUGCCGGUGUUAAACCGGAGGAAGGUGGGGAUGACGUCAAGUCCUCAUGGCCUUUAUGACCAGGGCUACACACGUACUACAAUGGCCGAUACAAAGGGCAGCGACACUGCGAGGUGAAGCCAAUCCCGUAAAAUCGGUCUCAGUCCGGAUUGGAGUCUGCAACUCGACUCCAUGAAGUUGGAAUCGCUAGUAAUCGUGGAUCAGCAUGCCACGGUGAAUACGUUCCCGGGCCUU